ACCCCGAUAGCUUAGUUGGUAGAGCAUGAGACUCUUAAUCACAGGGUCUUAUGUUCGAGCCCCAUGUUUGGGUG
rnacentral:tRNA from 1 species